rnacentral:rRNA from 1 species
AUUGAACGCUGGCGGCAGGCCUAACACAUGCAAGUCGAGCGGAGCGGCGGACGGGUGAGUAAUGCCUAGGAAUCUGCCUGGUAGUGGCGGAUAACGUCCGGAAACGGGCGCUUAUACCGCAUACUAUCAGACGAGCCUAGGUCGGAUUAGCUAGUUGGUGGGGUAAAGGCCUACCAAGGCGACGAUCCGUAACUGGUCUGAGAGGAUGAUCAGUCAAACUGGAACUGAGACACGGUCCAGACUCCUACGGGAGGCAGCAGUGGGGAAUAUUGGGCAAUGGGCGAAAGCCUGAUCCAGCCAUGCCGCGUGUGUGAAGAAGGUCUUCGGAUUGUAAAGCUCUGUCGGUUGGGAGGCGUUACCAACACAGUAAGCACCGGCUAACUUCGUGCCAGCAGCCGCGGUAAUAC